CCUACGGGCGGCAGCAGUAGGGAAUAUUGCUCAAUGGGGGAAACCCUGAAGCAGCAACGCCGCGUGGAGGAUGAAGGUUUUCGGAUUGUAAACUCCUUUUGGUAGAGAAGAUAAUGACGGUAUCUAACGAAUAAGCACCGGCUAACUCCGUGCCAGCAGCCGCGGUAAUACGGAGGGUGCAAGCGUUACUCGGAAUCACUGGGCGUAAAGAGCGCGUAGGCGGGAUAGCAAGUCAGAUGUGAAAUCCUAUGGCUUAACCAUAGAACUGCAUUUGAAACUGUUAUUCUAGAGUAUGGGAGAGGUAGGUGGAAUUCUUGGUGUAGGGGUGAAAUGCGUAGAGAUCAAGAGGAAUACUGAUUGCGAAGGCGACCUGCUAGAACAUAACUGACGCUGAUGCGCGAAAGCGUGGGGAGCAAACAGGAUUAGAUACCCCAGUAGUC
rnacentral:rRNA from 1 species